UACGGGGGGGGCAAGCGUUGUUCGGAAUUACUGGGCGUAAAGGGCGCGUAGGCGGCCUGCUAAGUCGAACGUGAAAUCCCCGAGCUCAACUCGGGAACUGCGUCCGAUACUGGCAGGCUUGAAUCCGGGAGAGGGAUGCGGAAUUCCAGGUGUAGCGGUGAAAUGCGUAGAUAUCUGGAGGAACACCGGUGGCGAAGGCGGGUCUCUGGGCCGAUACUGACGCUGAGGAGCGAAAGCGUGGGGAGCGAACAGG
rnacentral:rRNA from 1 species